GGUAGGGGUGAGCGGGCGGAGGAGGUAGUGCGGAGGGUGUAGGCGUUAGUCGUGAUGACUGGUCCGAGAGCGGUCGUAGGUUGUUCUGUAAGUUGGAUGUGGAAGCCCCGGGCUGAACCUGGGAACUGCAUGCAAAACGGGCGAGCUAGAGUACGGGAGAGGGUGGUGGAAUUUCCGGUGUAGCGGUGAAAUGCGUAUAUAUAGGAAUGAACACCAGUGGCGAAGGCGACCACCUGGACUGAUACUGACACUGAGGUGCGAAAGCGUGGGGAGCAAACAGGAUCAGAUACCCUGGUAGUC
rnacentral:rRNA from 1 species